GUUAUAUCGGUUGUCACGUGAUCUGUUAGCGUCAGUUUGAUCUACAUGUAUUAGCGGACCGGGAUAGUUGAUAACAGGGUUUGACACCCAUAAAUUAAAAAAAAAAAAAAAAAAAAAAAACAAGACAAAAUGACGUCGGCUGAUGCUGAGAAAGACCGGCAGGUUGUCGAUUCAAUCACCACUCCAGGGAUAACUGUUGAGCAAGUAAUGGACAUGUAUAAAUCCUGGGCCAAUUCAUAUGACCAAAGCAUGAUAAAAGUUCUGGCUAAGGGACCUAUCUUCGCGGCCAAGGUUGUUAAAGACGUCUUGGGUGACGACAGGAAAGCAUUGAUAUUAGACGCCGGCGCCGGCACAGGACUUGUCGG